AUUGAACGCUGGCGGCAGGCUUAACACAUGCAAGUCGAGCGGGGGAGGUUGCUUCGGUAACUGACCUAGCGGCGGACGGGUGAGUAAUGCUUAGGAAUCUGCCUAUUAGUGGGGGACAACAUUCCGAAAGGGAUGCUAAUACCGCAUACGCCCUACGGGGGAAAGCAGGGGAUCUUCGGACCUUGCGCUAAUAGAUGAGCCUAAGUCGGAUUAGCUAGUUGGUGGGGUAAAGGCCUACCAAGGCGACGAUCUGUAGCGGGUCUGAGAGGAUGGUCCGCCAGACUGGGACUUAGACACGGCCCAGACUGCUACGGGAGGCAGCAGUGGGGAAUAUUGGACAAGGGGCGGAAGCCUGAUCCAGCCAUGCCGCGUGUGUGAAGAAGGCCUUUUGGUUGUAAAGCACUUUAAGCGAGGAGGAGGCUCUUAAGGUUAAUACCCUUGAUGAGUGGACGUUACUCGCAGAAUAAGCACCGGCUAACUCUGUGCCAGCCGCCGCCGUAAGAC
rnacentral:rRNA from 1 species